rnacentral:lncRNA from 1 species
AGAGAGAGGAAAGGGAGAUAGUCAAUGGCAUUAUUAAAGGAGGGGUGGACGCUGUUGAUCCUUGACGUCAUGCUGUGGAAUGGAACGGUGGGAGUGACUUUAGUGCUCGUGCUGCAGCAGCAGGCGGAGAUAGAGACAGAAUGACGGCAGGCGGAUGAGAGGAGCACAGACCCCGUCUGGCGGGCAUGUUUAUCACACAGGGAAAAUAAAAACACGAAACACACAGAGACACAAAGGACCAGUGGGGAUUAAACAAAUAAUGACGGGAGACAGUGACUUAAAAUACACGUAACCAGUGUUCCCUCCAUCAUGUCUGCUGGUGAAACGAUGGACUAAAGAGUAGAGCCGUUGUGUGUGAUGUCAGACACAAGCAU